GAUGAACGCUGGCGGCGUGCCUAAUACAUGCAAGUCGAGCGAACAGACGAGGAGCUUGCUCCUCUGACGUUAGCGGCGGACGGGUGAGUAACACGUGGAUAACCUACCUAUAAGACUUGGAUAACUUCGGGAAACCGGAGCUAAUACCGGAUAAUAUAUUGAACCGCAUGGUUCAAUAGUGAAAGACGGUUUUGCUGUCACUUAUAGAUGGAUCCGCGCCGCAUUAGCUAGUUGGUAAGGUAACGGCUUACCAAGGCAACGAUGCGUAGCCGACCUGAGAGGGUGAUAGGCCACACUGGAACGGAGACACGGUCCAGACUCCUACGGGAGGCAGCAGUAGGGAAUCUGCCGCAAUGGGCGAAAGCAUGACGGAGCAACGCCGCGUGAGUGAUGAAGGUCUUCGGAUCGUAAAAAUCUGUUAUUAGGGAAGAACAAAUGUGUAAGUAACUAUGCACGUCUUGACGGUACCUAAUCAGAAAGCCACGGCUAACUACGUG
rnacentral:rRNA from 1 species